UUGAAUUUUUCAAAAAUUUGUAUUGGGUGCAAAGUAAUGAGCAUAUGAAAUUUUUAUUUCAUGUUGGGUCAAAUAAGCUGUGAGCCACUGUAUGUAUUGCUUUCAAAUUAGCAUGGAAUAUUGGCAAACUCACAUACCAUCCAGCAAUAUGAUGCGAUCAAGACCAAAUUGCUGGAAGGAAUAUAUAAAUUUUAGAACAAAAGAGGACGAAGUGAAGUCUAGAAUACGCUAGGGAUGGUAAUGGAUGAGAAUGGAGAAGAAUUAAAAAAUAUUGUUGGAUGCAAAAAAUGUUUCAAAAUUCUGAAGUACUCUAAUUGUACUUCGAAUUUAGUUAAACACAAAUGCUGUGUAGCAGCAAAAAACUCGUUAACUGAAACAGACAUCCCUGCAACACAUGUCGGUCCAGAAACCAAAAAGCUUAUUUUAGAAGCUGCUACUGAAUGGACCGUCAAAAAUUGUCGGCCCUUUAAUAUCAUCAAAGACGAUGGGUUAACGAAAUUACUUGCAAUAUUUACUAAAGUUGGAGCAAAAUAUGGUAGUGGAGUAAAUAUAGAUGAAAUUACUCCCCACCCGUUGACAAUCUCGAGAAAUGUGUCAGAGCUCUACAAUUUAGAGUUUGAAUAUAUAAAAGCAGAUGUUAUUAAAGCAAAAACAUCCGGCUAUAGCAUCACAUCUGAUAUCUGGACGGACGAGUUCCUAAAGAGAUCAUAUAUAUCGUGCACAGUGCACUAUAUUAGACGCGGUGCAAUGCUCACCCGCCUGCUAGCACUGAAGUCGAUGGGAGAUGAAUCAAAUACAGGCGCAAACAUUAAGAAUAAAAUCACAAAAAUUUUGAAUGAUUAUAAUUUGGCAAUGGAUGACGACAAAGCCAUAGCAGUCACUGACCGAGGCUCCAACAUGAUUAACGCAUUUAAAAGGGGCAGUCACAUUCAUUGCAUAAAUCACCUAUUAAAUAAUGUUGUGUAGAAAGCAAUUAAAGUUAUUUUAGAACUA